rnacentral:hammerhead_ribozyme from 1 species
AUCCAGCUGACGAGUCCUAAAUAGACGAAACGCGCGUCCUGGAU